rnacentral:lncRNA from 1 species
UUAAAAAUAUCCAACUUGUUAUAAUAUAGAUGAUUAUCCAAAAGACACAUGUCUCACUUCAACACCAUCUUGUCAUAAGCAUAUGUCUUUGUGUCUGUAGAGAAGAGAUGACUAAGCAUUAUAUUUUGUAUUAUAAAAAGAUGUGUAUGUGCUGAGAAAUAAAGUAAUCAGUUUGAUACAACAUCUCUCUCUCGUAUUACACACACACAUGAACUUCUCUCCUACUCAUUUUUCUCUCACUCUUACAUCUCAUCUCAUCUCUCUUUUAUUUCUAUAAAAGAUAA